rnacentral:rRNA from 1 species
CGACCGGCGCACGGGUGAGUAACGCGUAUCCAACCUGCCCUUUACUAUGGGACAGCCCGUCGAAAGGCGGAUUAAUACCGUAUGUUGUCAUGUUGAUGCAUAUUUUCAUGACCAAAGGCUUCGGCCGGUAAAGGAUGGGGAUGCGUCUGAUUAGCUUGCCGGCGGGGUAACGGCCCACCGGGGCGACGAUCAGUAGGGGUUCUGAGAGGAAGGUCCCCCACAUUGGAACUGAGACACGGUCCAAAUUCCUACGGAAGGCAGCAG